rnacentral:rRNA from 1 species
UACGAAGGGGGGCUAGCGUUGCUCGGAAUCACUGGGCGUAAAGCGCACGUAGGCGGAUUGCUAAGUCAGGGGUGAAAUCCUGGAGCUCAACUCCAGAACUGCCUUUGAUACUGGCGAUCUUGAGUCCGGGAGAGGUGAGUGGAACUGCGAGUGUAGAGGUGAAAUUCGUAGAUAUUCGCAAGAACACCAGUAGCGAAGGCGGCUCGCUGGGCCAUUCCUGACGCUGAGACGCGAAAGCUAGGGGAGCGAACAGG